rnacentral:rRNA from 1 species
AACAGGAUUAGAUACCCUGGUAGUCCACGCUGUAAACGAUGUCGACUUGGAGGUUGCGCCCUUGAGGCGUGGCUUCCGGAGCUAACGCGUUAAGUCGACCGCCUGGGGAGUACGGCCGCAAGGUUAAAACUCAAAUGAAUUGACGGGGGCCCGCACAAGCGGUGGAGCAUGUGGUUUAAUUCGAUGCAACGCGAAGAACCUUACCUACUCUUGACAUCCACGGAACUUGCCAGAGAUGGCUUGGUGCCUUCGGGAACCGUGAGACAGGUGCUGCAUGGCUGUCGUCAGCUCGUGUUGUGAAAUGUUGGGUUAAGUCCCGCAACGAGCGCAACCCUUAUCCUUUGUUGCCAGCACUUCGGGUGGGAACUCAAAGGAGACUGCCGGUGAUGAACCGGAGGAAGGUGGGGAUGACGUCAAGUCAUCAUGGCCCUUACGAGUAGGGCUACACACGUGCUACAAUGGCGUAUACAAAGAGAAGCAAACUCGCGAGAGCCAGCGGACCUCAUAAAGUACGUCGUAGUCCGGAUUGGAGUCUGCAACUCGACUCCAUGAAGUCGGAAUCGCUAGUAAUCGUAGAUCAGAAUGCUACGGUGAAUACGUUCCCGGGCCUUGUACACACCGCCCGUCACACCAUGGGAGUGGGUUGCAAAAGAAGUAGGUAGCUUAACCUUCGGGAGGGCGCUUACCACUUUGUGAUUCAUGACUGGGGUGAAGUCGUAACAAGGUAACC